rnacentral:tRNA from 1 species
GCUGCUAUAGCUCAGUAGGUAUGAGCGCGUCCUUGGUAAGGACGAGGUCCCCGGUUCAAGCCCGGGUAGCAGCUCCA